GUCUACAGCCGCACCACCCUGAAUGCGCCUGAUCUCGUCUGAUCUCGGAAUCUAAGCAGGGUCGGGCCUGGUUAGUACUUGGAUGGGAGACUUCCUGAUAAGAUGUUGGGAAAGCAGGCA
rnacentral:rRNA from 1 species